AAAACCAAUGCCCUCCGGGGCUCACUGGUGAUUCAUGAUAACUCCUCGAAUCGCAUGGCCUUGCGCCGGCGAUGGUUCAUUCAAAUUUCUUCCCUAUCAACUUUCGAUGUUUGGGUAUUGGCCAAACAUGGUUGCAACGGGUAACGGAGGGUUAGGGCUCGACCCCGGAGAAGGAGCCUGAGAAACGGCUACUACAUCCAAGGAAGGCAGCAGGCGCGCAAAUUACCCAAUCCCGACUCGGGGAGGUAGUGACAAUAAAUACUGAUACAGGGCUCUUUUGGGUCUUGUAAUUGGAAUGAGUACAAUUUAAAUCCCUUAACGAGGAACAAUUGGAGGGCAAGUCUGGUGCCAGCAGCCGCGGUAAUUCCAGCUCCAAUAGCGUAUAUUAAGUUGUUGUGGUUAAAAAGCUCGUAGUUGAACCUUGGGCCUGGCUGGCCGGUCCGCCUCACCGCGUGUACUGGUCCGGCCGGGCCUUUCCCUCUGUGGAACCCCAUGCCCUUCACUGGGUGUGGCGGGGAACCAGGACUUUUAC
rnacentral:rRNA from 1 species